GCCCGAGUUCUUUUUCCCCCGAUCCCGAUUCUCUUCUUCCUUUCUUCUCUUUCCCUCACGCGAGCCCUAACCGGCGCCGCAAAUCGCCGGUUCCUCCCUCUCCUCUGCCGACGCCGACGACGCCAAGGACCAGAGAGCUGGCGGCUGAGUUUCGCCUUUCCUCUCCCUCUUCCUUCUCGGUGCCCUAAUCUUUGCUUCGCUGCCCAGUCGAGCCACCGGCCGCCAACACUGUGCCUUGCUGACGCCGUCACACUCGCCGGGGAGAUCCCAGUGGCCGACCCUCCCCUGUGCCCUAGCACCACAGUAGUGCCACUGCCGAGCCUCUCCCUCUUCGUGAGUUGCGGCCGCACCAUCAAAGGAUUUCAGCGUAGAUCACCGGCGUAGAUGCAUUCCGAGCACCCGUUGCCAAUGUCGAGCCCUCAGCCCUAGCACCUCCUCUUCCUCGGAUUCAUGCUUAGUGUCGUCGCUUGAUUGGGCUAAUGCUCCACCAUCUCUGUGCUCUAGCUUGGAUUCACUACCGAUCCUUGGAUCGCAUUGCCUUCUCCACCCGAGCGGUUUCCACUGCGCUAGUUACCAUUGGUUCUUUCUUCACUCAUCUCACUUAUCUGCUUUUGUUGAAUUGCUUGCAGAGAUGAAACUGCCGGCACAGAAAUUGGCUCCGGCUUUGCCUUGGUAGCAGCUUUACGGUAGCUUUGGCCAUGAAUUUCUGUCUGCAAGUAUCUCUUCCGUGGCUCAACUGAGGAGUCUCCAAAUCUAGGACUUUGACGCGAGACGAGCAUCUCGAUGUCGGAUUGGACCGGAUACGAUACUCUCAUUGG